AAGGGGGAGUUCAUAAACAUAUGAUUCAUCUUUUGUGAAGGGCUGUAGUUACAAAGAGGGCCUCCUGUGCAACCAGGAAGUGAUGAAGCUGCUUCCAGUGUUGGAUAUCUUUAUUCUUCCCCAGGUGGCUCACAGAAAUGCUGUCUUUCUGUGUAAAACAGGCAAGAUGUCUCAAGGACACUGGCUUUAAAUGAUGGUAAAAGACCCAAUACCACUGCCACAGUAGGGAUGUCAGUCUCCAGCACUGCUGCAAUCUCCAUUUAAAUUCAAAAUGGAGACUUUGUGUGGCUAUAACACUUCUCUAGAGAAUUCUCUAGAGAAUACAAAAGAGCUGCCUGUGUCUUGAGACCCACUUCUGACCGAUAACUGAAAUAAAUGUAAAUAUCAAGGGGAGACCAGAACUACUUAUGGGGCUGCCAGGGGCUAGAAUUAAGAAAUGAGGUGAUAUUAAAUGGAAAUUCUAGGCCGUUCAUUGAGACAAGCUGUGUGGUGGAGGCCUCCUUGUUUGGAUUGUUUAAAGCUAGUUUAGAUAGAAUACAUAAUGUAAAAAAAAAAUGCUUUAGGGAAUAAUAAUCCUGUACUGGCUGAGAAGAGGGGAUAGACUAGGUAACAUAACUGCUGUGUCACAUUUGGCAUGGAGUUGCAACUGCAAUAGUGACUUUACUGGGUAGGGAAUCUAAAAAGAGAAAUUGCUUGCCAGCAGCUCUGCACUAUACUGCCCCCUCGCAGGUUUGUCAGGGAUCAGUAAUGGUUUCUGAACCUGCUCUAUAACUGUUCUGCUAUUGAAAGCCUUGUUACAACUAUUUGGCUUAACAAUGUUGGCUAAAUUUCUUGUCUGCUAACACGGUCAGUCCUGCGUACAGAGCAGGCAUUAGGUAUUUGCCACCUCUGAUUUCCAAGGUUCAGCUUGGAAUUUCCACCCACAGCCCAAUUAAUUUCCUGUGUCUGAUUACCUUUUUGGGAAUGAAGUCUGGCUUUUAAAAAGGCUUAGUGCUCAUUCUUUAUAUCUAGUAGUUGGUACCAAAAGUAGCUAGAGUUCUGGUCCUGCUUGGCAGAGUCCUGGGUGGAGAGAGGCUCAGUACUGAGUACUGAAAUUCACUCUUACAAAAGCAAUUUUUUUAGGAGGGAAGAUUCUCCAUGCUGCUGCUGUCAAUGUGGUCAGUGCUGCACCUGGACUUCCCUUAUCUCUACACUCAAUACAGGAGGCUCUGUACUGUUUUGGCUGACCUAAAAACUCAGAAUGGGAUCCUAAGAACUUUUUUUAAUGAGAAAGUAACCCUGUGCAUGGACAAACCCAGUUUGCCAGAGUUGCAUAUUUGUGUCUUGGAGUCUUUGCUGCAAGCAUGUGGCCCAUGCACACAAUGAAAUUGUUUUGGUCAUAGUGUUUGUUGGAGCUGUAUCUGCUCUCUAGGUGUCCUCCAGCACCAGGGCAUAAAGGAUGGAGGAAGCCCAAUUGUUCCUUAAUUCUUUCUUGCUGCAGCAAGAUGGAACCCUUGCAGUGUUUGCUUCUCUGUGACUCUAUUGUAGUUAGUGUUAGUUUAGUUGGGUUUAGAAAAAAGGGGUUGUACCCAUGUUACCAGUACUAAUUAGGCCUUUGGUCAGCAGUUGAGACAUUGAAACUAUCUACUUCCCCUACCCUAGGCAGAAGGGAUGCAGGAGUGCCCUAGCACACCAGAAAGGGUAGCCUCACCAUCUUCUCCAUUAGGACACAGUAGAGACUUAUCUCCUGCUCAUCCCACAUCCCCUCCAUUGGGUCUUUCCCUGACUUCCCAGUGUGGAGCUGAGACUGCUCUUAAAACAGGAGAUGGCAUGUAUCUCACAGGGAGCAAGUCCCUGGCACCCUCCUCAUUGUCCAUCAGUCCAGUAUCCAUAUGCUUGAGUCAUGGUCCUGAGCUAGGCAGCCACAUACUUGCAAGCCAACAUCCUUUCCCCCUCUUUUAGGGUUAAAUCCUCUUAUCCUAAAAGGCAGUAUAGAUUUCCCAGCCAGGUCAGUUAGUGCAACUAUAGCUCCUAGAGAGAGAGGCAAAACAAUUGAUCCUAGUAGCAAUUUUGAUGAAGCAGUCAAUCCCUCUAUGCUCGUGGUUUUCAACCUUUUUUCAUUUGCGGGCCCCUACAAAACUUCAAAUGGAGGUGUGGACCCCUUUGGAAAUGUUAGACAUAGUCUGUGAACCCCCAGGGGUCAAUGGACCACCAGUUGAAAACCACAGCUCUAUGCCUUGUCCAACAAAUGACUUCAACGUGUUCCAAGACCUGAAAUGUAUGGUCAAGACCCUUAACGUUCCACUGGAAGUAUUGAAGAGAAGUCACACAAGCCGCUAGAUAUUCUGCACCCUUCUAUACCUGAUAGAUUCAUCAUGUCUAUUAACAAGGGAUUGUUAGGGCCUGCAAAGGACAAGAGUGGGAUCCAUGUGGACAAAUACUUGAAAAAGUAACUGUUCUCUCCCUUACAGCAAUGGUGGUUCUUCAGCAUGGGUUGUCCACAUGGAUUCCACAACCAUUUUUGCUGCUGCUAAGGAGUGCUACACUUCUUCUAUCCUGUAUUGGCAAAAGAACUGAGGGGUGUUGGGCACACUUCACUCUUUAUGCCCUCAGUGUGGAAUAAGGCCAUGUAAGGUCCAGGAGUUACACCAGUGGCUGCUGCUGGCCAAAAUAACCUGAUCUCGCAUGUAUGGGGUGCAUGUGCAUCAAGAGAAGGAGCCAUAUGGACAAAACCUCUCAAAGAACCACAGUUACUGUAAGGGUUUUCUUCUUGCUUUUUCAAAUGAAGGGCAGGGUUUGUCCACCACCCCUCCGGUGCGGGCAGUUUACCUUGGGCCUGACAGUGGAGCUUCAAAGCAGUUGGACACACCAUCAGUUUCACAGGUUGAGAUUUGCAAACCUGCCUUUUAACCUGCGGAUCCAAAGUCUGGGAGAGAACUUGUUACCAACAUGAAAACAAUUAUUGCAGCCUAUUUCCAAAAUCGUAGUGGGAGCCGUGCCAGCAUUCAGGCCGCCCUGCAUACUCUGCUCACCGUGCCCUGGCCCUCGCAGCGGGAGUUCCGAGCAUGCAUCCAGCUCCUCUCAGUUCUACAGUGGGUCCUCAGCUUCUUGCUGAUGGGAAUCGUCUUCCUGUUUCUCCUCGUCUAUUUGGUUUUCACCAGUUUCUGGCCAGUUUCUGCUCUAUACUUUGCCUGGGUAAUCUUUGACUGGGAUGCACCGGAGCAAGGUGGGAGGAGGUCGGCGUGGGUGCGAAACUGGCCUGUCUGGAAGCAUUUCCGAGAUUAUUUCCCUAUUCAGUUAGUGAAGACUCACAGCCUCCUCCCCGGUCACAAUUAUAUCAUUGGCGCACACCCCCAUGGGAUCCUCUGUGUUGGGGCCUUCUGCAACUUCAUCACCGAGUCCACUGGCUUCUCUGAGAAGUUCCCCGGCAUCAGACCCUUCCUGGCAACGCUGGCUGGCAACUUCCGGCUGCCUGUCUUCAGGGAGUACCUGAUGAGUGGGGGCCUGUGCCCUGUGACACGCCAGGCAAUAGGGUACCUGCUCUCUCAGAAUGGCAGUGGAAACGCUGUGGCCAUCGUAAUUGGAGGUGCGGCCGAGUCACUGUCUUGCCAGCCAGGAGUCACCACGUUAAUCCUCAAAAACCGCAAAGGCUUUGUUCGGAUGGCGCUGCAGCAUGGGGCGCACCUGGUUCCUGCCUUCUCCUUCGGUGAGAACGACCUCUUCCGGCAGGUGGUUUUUGAAGAGGGCAGCUGGUUGAGGGGCAUUCAGAAGAGGUUCCAGAAGCUGGUGGGCUUUGCUCCCUGCGUCUUCUAUGGACGGGGUUUAACCUCUAUCCAAUCCCGAGGCUUCCUGCCCUACCCGAAGCCUAUCACCACUGUCAUAGAUUAUGAGCUCUCUGUGGCAAGGACUAUCUUCCUCAUUACUUGGCUGUACAGUGCCUAGUACAACGGGGCCCUGAUCCUUAACUGCGGUUCCUGGACCUACAGUAAUAAUAAUCCUCCAGGUGGACUGGGAUGCAGGGUGGUGUAGAUCUGGCUUGCUGCCCAGACAGAAGCUGCUCUAUUGAACAGUCCUAUACAGAAAGGAAGGAAGAAUAAAAUGGGGUGAAUGGAACAGUGGGGACCAGCCUGUGUCCACUCAGCUGCUAAGGAGCGGUUGGAGUUUUCUUUCUAAUAGUAACCACGUGGAAACCAUGGGAUUCUCCCAGGCAGUCUCUGGACUCACACAUGCAGCCAGACAUAUGUUGAAGCCUAUCUUCAGUCUAGGACUGGAUAUUGGAGAUGUCACCAUCAUACACUUCCUCAUCUAGGCAGAGACCAGAGCCGUUCCACAAUGGUAAUGAACAACCAAAGCUGGUCCACCGCUGAAGACUCCUGAACUCCCUAGGUUUUCAACUCGCCCUAGGAGAAAAACCACACAAACACAAGGCCAAAGCACCAAUGAGUUAGUACAGUACAAUCACCUGUUGUCCACUACCAUCGGCACCCAACCCAUCCAUUUCCCCCACCCCCGACUGACCAAGAAGACACAAGGGUUGACAGAUGAACUACAGCAGUUGAGGCACACACGCAGAAAGUUCAAGUUUUGCAUCCAGAGAUGCAAAAAACAUUCUGAAUCCCUCAGCCAGCAGCACAAACAACACUUCCAGGACUAGGCCACUGCAGUAACAGAGUCAAAAUGAGCCUUCUACUCAUCAACAAUCAAUGCAGCAGAAUCAGGGCCAUCAGAGCUAUUCCAUACAAUGAACCAGCUAAUCAACCCCGACUGUGUAGCCCAGACUCCAGAGCCAAGCAUCAACCAUUGUGAAGAACUGUCAGCAUACUUCACUGAUAAGAUCAGUCGAAUACCUAUGAAGCUAACUGGGACAGGAAAUUCCUCCCUGACAUGAUUUGUAUUACCUGCCCCAUGGUCUAUGACUGAGUCUGGCUUAAUCACACAAGCCAAAGCUCAAAAAGCCCUGGAACAUAUUAGAGCCACAGCCUACGAAACAGAUCUAUGCCGCUUCUGACUGGUACAAGCCAAAGAAUAACAAGUCUGCCUACUCCUAAUGGAAAUAGUCAGUGCCCCUGAGAGAUGCACACCUACCAAACUCCUUGGAAAAUGCAAUAGUUCACCCAGUCGUCAACUAUAGCCAACACUUGACCCUGAAGAUCUCUUCAGCUACCAUCCUGUCUCCAACCUCCCAUAUCUGGGCAAAAUAAUUGAGAAAAUAGCUCCAACAUAUGACAUCAGCCAACACACUGGAUAUCUCAGAAUCAGGGUUCAGCUCAAGGCACAGCACAAAAGUCACUCUAGUUACACUAAAAGACAAUCUUCUCAUGGUCAUGGACACAGGUCAGAUCUCCAUGCUCACUCUGCUGGACCUCUCUGAAGCCUUGGAUACAGUGGACCACAAGGUGCUAUUAACACAUACCUAUGUGACAAAGCUGGAGUAGUCAGCUCAGCAUUACAGUAACUCCAAUCAUUCCUCUCCGACAGACCCAGAGUGGUGAUGGGUAGUGGCUCUUCCUCUCCAAAGGCCUCACCUGCUGGGUCCUGUUGGAUCCACACUAUCUAUCCCUGCUUCUCUUCACUACUUACAUGAGACCACUGGGAGAGAGAGACAGACCUCAUGGGCUCAGUUGCCAACAGUAUGCCAAGGACACAACUGUUUAUCUCAUCCUCAAUUGAUGCAACCAUUGCCACUUCUAAAGUGUCAGAAUGCCUACAAGAAAUAAGCUCUUGGAUGAAGAGCAGCUUAUUCAAGCUAAACCUGAGCAAAACCAAAAGGAUGCUAGUUGGAAACAGGAAACACUUUGAAGAGCUGGCCAAGAUGUUGUCUCCACCUUCCAUUGAAGGCAUGCAGUCCCCGUUGGUCAGAAUGGUACAAAACCUCAGGGUCUUGUUAGAUUCCUUGCUAAGCCUGGAUAACCAGGCAGUAUCAGUUUCCAAAAAUGCCUUCUUUCACCUUCAGAUUGUUAGGAAACUUAAGCCAUUCCCCCUGGACAAGGACCUGUCCAUACUAAUCGAUGCAUUUGUCACCUCCAGACUGGGUUACAGUAAAUCAUUAUAUCUGAAGCUGAAUGUCAAGAUGAUGCACAGGCUCCAACUGAUACAGAAUGUGGCUGCCCGCCUUCUCCAUGGCAUGUGCUCAUGGCAGCCUAUCAGGCCUGUGCUCAAGUCCCUCCACUUGCUCCAAGGCAAGUUUAAGGCCUUGGUCCUAAUUUUCAAAGAAAUUAAUGGAUCAGCUACAGCGGGGACCGAAUUUUGAACUGUGAAUCAUCAUGACAGCUGUACUCCUCUGGAGCAAUAAAAAUCUCAAAGCCGUGAGCAAAGCACAUGAGGGCUGGGGACAAUGCAUGGAACAGUCUUCCAGAGGUGAUCAAGCAAAUCCAGAGCCUGACUAUCUUGAGGAACCACUACAAGGUCUUCCUCUUUGAGAAAGCCUUUCCACUCUAUGUGGUGCUCACAAUAUGAACACCCCCUUCUAUUUUCAAACCCUUACCCACUACUAUCACCCCCCAAAAUACAACCCCACACUCUACCCUAAAGAGUUUUGAUUCUGAAAAGGGAGGAGUGUGAGAGACUUUAUGAAGUCCACUAAGGACUUUGCUAUUGUUCAUAGAAUCAUAGAAUAUCAGGGUUGGAAGGGACCUCAGGAGGUCAUCUAGUCCAACUCCCUGCUCAAAGCAGGACCAUUCCCCAACUAAAUCAUCCCAGCCAGGGCUUUGUCAAGCCUGACCUUAAAAACCUCUAAGGAAGGAUUUUAUUGUUGAUUUUAUGUGGAUGGUACUAUAAAACCCUAAGAUAAAUAGUAACUACUCAUUCCUCCUUUAGCACUGGAGGCUGCAGAGAGCCUGAGAUAGGAGAAGCAACUGUCAGAUUCUCAACUGACACAUCUUUCUGUGCCAGGGUCUCUCCUUAGUGGACAUAACCUGGCAGUAAAAUGUCAUGACAGCUGGGAGAUAGGGAACAUUCCACAGCUCCUUAUCUCAGAAGAUGGAAUGAUUAACAAAUGGAAACCCUGUAAGCUCUGCAAUUCACCAUGGGGACAGCAACAUUAUCUCACUGGUGACAGCACCUUAAGGUGUUUAGGAUUUCACAGAGUGAAGAAGUGGAUGUGUCCUCUUUACAAAACUUCACAGGAAACUCCCCAACAUUGCACAAUGAGCCUAGUUUCAGGACUGAAGGAAUGAGUCACUGAGAAUAGCAGGCAUGAAAUUGCCCUGGGUAAUUUGGGGAAUCUCCCAUAUAGAACAGAAUAACACAAAGCUCCCCAGGGCUGAUAGAGCUCAGGAAACCUAAGUUCAGGGCAGAAUGUAUGUGGUGAUGAGACCUCAGCUAUAGAACAAAUCUUCCAUGAGUGGCUUAGGCUGAGCCUGUUCAGAUCUCGGGGCAAAAACCAUCUCUUCACUGAGGUCUCCCCUAGGAAUGGCAUCUCCCUAAGAGAAGAACAUUUCCAGGAAUGGGAAGAGACAGAGCUGCAUCAUGCAAAUGUUAGUUGUUUGACAUUUGAAUGCUGUGGUGAUGGGCCUUAUGAAUACCGGAGAUAGAUACCAUCUGCUGAAGAGGAUGGAGCAGGGCAAGGAGGAAGGUAGGGAAGAGACAUUUGGAAUCCCUCUGCUCUGGGGCGAGUUCCUCCUUCAAGAAGCGUUACCAAUAGUGGCAGAACAAGGCUCCCAAAAGCUCAUCUUCUCCUCAUAGGGCAGAAGGGUGUGAGACAGUGACACCCAAUAUGACACGUCUGCUGCCAGCUCACAGAGAGGGAUCCCGGCUUCUCUCCAUGCCCUGUCAGCUCAUCAUCAAGGGGCACUCCCCUGCCUCCCCACCCUCACCUCCCUGCUGAUGCCCUCCCCUCACCCCUGCCCCUCCCAGCAAUCACUCCUAUCAGGUUUGUGCUAUCCUGGGGCCAGAGCUCUAUAUUUGCUCUCACUGUUGACAUUGGCUGUGAAACUGACUGGGGAAAUGAGAAGAUGCACCCUCCAGAUGGGAUGCAGGGAGACAUUCUCAGGCCAGAUGCAGCUUGGAGCAGCUCAGAACAAGAACAGGAUUCUGCAUCCAGCCAAGAGGAUUCUCAGUAGCGGUUCUCCAGGAUCCCUCCCGGUCCCAGCUGCUCAGCCUAAAGUGCUCCCAAUUUCACAAUUUCAGGUGUCCUUGACAGGGCACUGAGGAUUCAUAGGUUACAAAGCCAGAAUCGACUAUUGUGACCAUCUAGUCUGCAUAACUGCAUAACACAGGCCAUAGAACUGCCCUGAAUUCAUUCCUGUUUGAACUAGAGCAAAUCUUUUAGAAAAACAUCCUAUCUUGAUUUAGAAAUGUCCUCUGAUGGAAAAUCCACGACAACCCUGGGUAAAUAGUUCCAAUGCUCAAUUACCUUCACUGUUAACAAACUGCAUCUUAUUUCUAGUCUGAAUUUCUCUCGCUUCAACUUCCAGCCCUUGGAUCUUGUUGCACCUUUGUCUGCUAGAUUGAAGAGCCCUCUAUUAUCAAACUCCUGUCCCCAUGUAUACAGAGAUAUUGGAGCCAAGUCAGUCCCAGAAUAUUAGAGAAACAAGGUCCAUGAGGUAAUGUCUUUUAUUGGCCCAACUUCCGUUGGUGAGAGAGACAAGUUAUUGAGCUUACACUGAACUCUUUUUGAGGGC